CACAUUAUCACCACGUUGGCGUUCUAAUGGCUGACCUUGGGGUCCCUCUCCCUCACUAGCUUAUUAACUCCUUUUACUCAUCCCUGGAAGAUUAACGUCAUCUGAGAGGCAUCUGAUAAACGGUUGCAGAGUAAUAUGUGACUGACAUGGCUUUGAUAGAAACUACGCUGAGAAGAUGAUCAUUUCCUGUAAUUAAGAAGUUGUGCAGCUCGGGAAAAUGCAGAGAAGGAAAACAAGGAAGUGGGGAGGGGUGAAGAAGAUAUGGAGAUGAAGGAGAUUCCGCGGGUGAACGAAGGUCU
rnacentral:lncRNA from 1 species